UGGCUCAGAGGGUAAAGCAUCUGCCUGCAAUGCGGGAGACCUGGGUUCGAUCCCCGG
rnacentral:tRNA from 1 species